rnacentral:lncRNA from 1 species
UUUUUUAAAAAAAAAAAAAAAAUUAUCCUCCCGCAACCGCCCGCAACCGCAAACGCUAGCUGGAACCAGCUUUUGAUUUUAAGAGGUUUGGAGCGGUUUGAAGCGAUUUGUAGCAGUUUGUAUGAUUGUUUCGAAACGCUGUCAACCGCUACCAAUCGCAAAAGCUGCGUUUGCGGGUGGUAGCGGGAAAACCAAUCAAACUCUUAGUGUAUUGUAUUAUUGAUGCUUAGUCCACUUUAGUUGCAUU